rnacentral:rRNA from 1 species
AUGGGUCGCUUGUACACGGGGAGACACAUCUCUUCACCCGCCUCAUAUUCACUUCUUCUCUUUGUCGUUGGUGCCACAACUUACCAAACGACACCUCCUGUCCAGAGGCAACGCAACUCGCUAUAUACGUGCAACUCAACUUCACCGUAUAUGAACUCGCCGGAACUCCUUGAUCACGAACGGAAACGCAAGGCACAAUUUCCUUUUUCCAUCCGCUCUCAUUCUCAAUUCUCCUCUGCCAGUGACGCAUCUCAACUGCAGCAGAAGAUUCACACGCCCGAACUCUUGGACGCACCUUACAAGAACUCAUGUGCACACCUUGACGACAGCUCACAACUUUGUCGCCUCUUCCUCGCUCCCCCCGAACGACGAUCUUGA